GCACCCAUUGUUUGUACUGCAUCGUUUACUCCACAAACUUGUUUCUUCUUUCUGAAGCACAUUCCAAAAGAAUCCAAUAAUGCUGCAUAUAUCUAUAUCUGGAAGGGACCUCAUCGGUCAUCCAGCCCAGCCCACUUCAAGGCAGCAAUAUGCAGGAGAACCACCACCAACCUUGGUUGUGCCGUCAGUGUUGCCCUAUCAGAUGGCACUUUUAAGGCAAUUUAAACUGCAGCUGCAAGGUGCGCAAUGAAGCACCCCUUGCCGUCCCCUUUUGCUGACUGGGAGAGGGAAGAGGUCUGCUUACAGUCUCCCCAGGAGCUUUUCAACAAUCAGUAGGAGGCCUGAAGCCUUUGUGGGGGAUUGUACAUCUGCUAAGAACAUUAAAUGCUAUUUCUCUUUCUUCUUUUUGAAGCCCUUUCCAAAGAAUAAUGAUGGUAAAUAAACCUCUGGAAGGGACCCCAAGGGUCAUCCAGUCCAACCCGCUGCAGCACAGGAACAUGCAAGAGUAGCUUACAGGGAACAAUCCUGCAACCUGGUUGUGCAGCAAAUGUUGCCCUCUUAAAGAGCACUUGAAGGCUGCUUAGGUAUAGUUCAGGGAUCCACACCUCUCCUGCAGCUGCAAGUCCAGCCAAGAAGCAAACAUGGCCAUACACUAUUCUGGACUGGAAACAGAGGUGCUGCUUGCAUCCUGCCUGGGAACAUUUAAACACUCAAGGAGAGGCCCUGACCCUGACCCCUAAACCUGACCCCAACCCUAACAAUGACCCAAACCCCAACAGCUACACUUACAACAGCAGACUUACUUCUGACCUUUGUAAAAGGUAAAGGGACCCCUGACCGUUAGUUCCAGUCGUAGCCGACUCUGGGGUUGCAGCGCGCAUCUCUCUUUGUUGGCAGGAGCCAGCAUACAGCUUCCUGCUCAUGUGGCCAGCAUGACUAAGCCACUUCUGGCGAACCAGGGCAGCGCACAUAAACGCUUUCAAACUGCUAGGCUGGCAAGAGCAGGGAUCCAUCAGCAGGAGCUCACCCCAUGGCGGGGAUUCGGACCACCAACCUUCUGAUCUGCAAGUCCUAGGAUCUGUACUUUAACCCACAGCGCCACCGUCGUCGCUUCUUUCUGACCAUUGACCCCUACUUAAAAACUAGAUUUUCCAUGGACCUCGUUAGUCCAACCACAAAUUGUCCAAGCUAGUUUUGCAUCUGGCUAGAAGUACAUUUUUCAUUGCAGAAAACUUCUCAUAAAGAGAUUUUUCCCCCAGCUGCGGCCUCUGGUAUACCUUGCAGAGCAUCCCAAAACAAAGCUGUCUUCCUGACCCAGGGCUUAGGGGAAUUAGGGUUAGGGGAUAAAGACUAUAAUUUUUUGGGAAGCCUGUUUAUUCUGACACUGAUGUUGGUGAAGGAAACCACAGACUGAUCCUGGUGCAAGUGCAGGAGACAGGGGUCCCAUCCCAACGCUCACCCCCUCAAACCCAGAAGAUCCCAAGACAAUUUGGCUCCUACCGUUCUCUGUAUGGAUGCUGCUCCUCUUCCAAGCAGGUGCUGAAGGUGGGAUGAAGACCACCUUCUCUCCAUCUCCCCCUUCUUCCCUUAAGUGUGAAUAGGGAAGCCCACCCAUUUCAGAAACCCUUUUGUUCCCCCAUCCUUUUGUUCCCCCACCAUGCAUAAGUAGGCUUGUGCCAAAAACAUAAGGGUGAUAAUAACUACACAAGAUCUAACAUUGAGGAACGAAGAACAGAGAAUUAUCAGUAGGCCCAAUUUCUUUAAGAUGAACUAAAAGAGUAGGCGUAUAAGAGGCACCCAUCGUUUGUACUGCAUCGUUUUCUUCACAAAGUUCUGUUUCUUCUUUCUCAAGCAUAUUCCAAAGAAUCAUAUGAUCCUACAUACAUAUCUACAUCUGGAAGGGACCACGAGGGUCAUCCAGCCCAGCCCAGGGCAAGGCAGGAAUAUGCAGGAGAACCAGCAAACUUGGUUGUGCCAUCAGUGUUGCCCUAUCAAAUGGCACUUUUAAGGCAAUUUAAACUGCAGCUGCAAGGUGCGCCAUGAAGCACCCCUUGCCAUCCCCUUUUGCUGACUGGGAGCGGAGGAGGUGCUGCUUACAGUCUCCCCAGGAGCUUUUCAACAGUCAGGAGGAGGCCUGAAGCCUUCGGGGGGAUCGAACAUCUGCUAAGAACAUUUAUACCUCCAGAAAAGAAAACAACCAUGAGCCUGCUCUAAGGGAAUGCUCAUGAGUGUAUAAAGUGUAUUUUGUUUAAAACACCUCUCAACAUUACAAACUGCUGCAAAUUUCCAAAACGCAUACAUCCGUGCCAGUAUUUCUCAAUGUAAAUGAUUCAACUGGCUUUUGGUUUUGGCCCCUGUUGCAGGGGCUCAGCCCACUUAGUCUCCUGCCAUUGGGGCUCUCAGCCUAGGUGCAUGGUGGGGGACAGUCUUAAAUCUUUGCACAGUUGAAUUUUAAGGACUGACACAAACACUACCAAACUGUAUUAAGACAUUACUAAAUGCUAGGGUUUCCAUUUUUGGAGAGACCAUGGGAAAGUGCAAUCUCCCUGACCACCGAGGAAGAGACUGUUCUCUGGGAGGCUACCAGUGUUACGAGUGUGAGGAGAGGAAGAGAGACACUCCACCCAGCUGUUUGAGCUGAAAUCCACCUUUCGAGAAGGCAGGUGCACCUCUGGAAAGGACCAGGCCGUGUGGAGGUGUAGGGACUGUGCGUUCUUACCCAUUUACUUCUUGCUGCUAAGAAGCUUUUCCAGUGGAUGGAAGUGCACUUAGGCAGAUGUAGCUGCCUUUUGUAACUUCAUGGAGAUGUCUGGCAGCUGCCUUGCCUCUUUUUCUUUUUUCCUUUCGCUGCCACGCUGCUGGUGAAUCAAGUGUUUGGUUGAAGGAGCUGUUUGGAUCUUGUGCCCAAAGAUCCCCUUUCCUGCUCUCACUCCACAAGACGGCAGCAGGAGGCCCCUGGCAUUUUGGGGGCACUGGCAUCUGGUCUGAAAAGAUCCCCUCUUCUCCCUCCCUCUGUCCGGCGAAACUUCCCCCUUCCUUGUCCUCCCCCUUUUUGGGAGAAGGAAUUCAGCACAGCCCUUUGAGACCUGAGAAAUAUCAGGGGUGGUCGUUUAUUUCAAGAACUGAAAGAGGGGUCCAUGUCAAAACAGGCAUAGGAUCUGCCAAGCUCAAAUUAAUGUGCAAGGAAUAAUAAAGCUGCUUACAGGAAGUGAAGUGACUAUCCCAUCAUACAACUAACUGUAAAGAAUGAUGGUAUAUAAACCUCUGGAAGGGACCCCAAGGGUCAUCCAGUCCAACCCGCUGCAUCGCAGGAACAUGCAGAAGUCCCUUACGGGGAACAAUCCUGCAACCUUUGAAGGCUACUUAGGAAGCAAACAUAGCCAUCCACUAUUCUUGACUGGAAACAGAGGAAGUUCUACUUACAUCCUCCCUGGGAGCAUUUCAACAGUCAGGGGGUGACCCGGACCCCUAAGCCUAACUCCAAGCCUCUCCCUAACCCCGACCCUAACAACCCAAACCCAAACCCCUAGACAUAAAACAGCAGAAUUACAACUUCUGACCUUUGUCAAAGGUAAAGGUAAAGGGACCCCUGACCAUUAGGUCCAGUCAUGGCCGACUCUGGGGUUGCACCACACAUCUCGCUUUAUUGGCCGGUGUACAGCUUCCAGGUCAUGUGGCAAAACAUGACUAAGUAGUUGGCCAUCAUACAACUAACCUGGAGGUAUGUUUCUCUGUCUCUUCUUUGUGUGGCACUUUACAACUCUUGGGAAUAUGCAGGCGUCCCUUAUGGAGAUUCCCCUGCAACCUUGGUGUUCACAGUACCAAAAGCUGUUAGCAUUUAACUGUUAGGUGUCACAGCCAAAAAUGAGGCGCCUUUGCCAUCAUACAACUAACUUAAAGGAAGGCUAUUUCUGGUUAUUUCUGAAGCACAUUCCAAAGAAUCAUAUGAUAGUGUAUAUAUCUAACUGGAAGGGACCCCAAGGGUCAUCCAGCCCAACCCACUGCAAGGCAGGAAUAUGCAGAAUAACCACUAACCUUGGUUGUGCUGUCAUGGUUGCCCUAUGAAAUGGCACUUUUAUGGCAAUUUAAACUGCAGCUGCAAGUUGCGCCAUGAAGCACCCCUUGCCAUCCCCUUUUGCUGACUGGGAGCGGAGGAGGUGCUGCUUACAGUCUCCCCAGGAGCUUUUCAACAGUCAGGAGGAGGCCUGAAGCCUUCGGGGGGGAUUGAACAUCUGCUGAGAACAUUUAUGCCUCCAGAAAAGGAAAAAACAAUGGUCCUGCUCUAAGGGAAUGCUCAUGAGUGUAUAAGUGCUGCUCUUUAAAACACCUCUCUUAACAUUACAAACUGCUGCAAAUUUCCAAAACGCAUACAUCCGUGCCAGUGUUUGUCAACGUAAAUGAUUCAACUGGCCCUUGGUUUUGGCCCCCGUUGCAGGGGCUCAGCCCACUUAGUCUCCUGCCAUUGGGGCUCCCAGCCUAGGUGCAUGGCGGGGGAGAGGCUUAAAUCUUUGCAGUUGAUUUUUAAGGACUGACACACAAACACACACCCCAAAACUAUAUUAAGACAUUACUAAAUGCUAAGGUUUCCAUUUUUGGAGAGACCGUGGGAAAGUGCCAUCUCCCUGACCAUCGAGGAAUAGAGACUGUUCUCUGGGAGGUUGCCAGGGUUACGGGUGUGAGGAGAGGAAGAAAGACUUUUCACCCAGCUGUUUGAGCUGAAAUCCCUUUGGAGAAGGCAGGCUGCACCUCUGGAAAGGACCAGGCCGUGUGGAGGUGUAGGGACUGUGCGGUCUUACCGAUUUAGAGAGAUAGCUAGGUAUUGCCCACCUUUCCCAUUACUUCUUGCUGCUAAGAAGCUUUUCCAGUGGAUGGAAGUGGACUUAGGCAGAUGUAGCAUUCGACAUAAAGGAAUAAAGCAGAGCCCAUGCAGGCAACCCAUCUUUUUCCACUGCAGCCUUGUCUCUUUUUCUUCUCUUUCCUUUCACUGCCACGCUGCUGGGCGAAUCAGGUGUUUGGUUAAAGGAGCUGUUUGGGACUUGUCUCAAAAGAUCCCCUUUCCGCCUCUCACCCCACAUGGCAGCAGCAGGAGGGCACCUCUUCUCCCUCCAUCAGGCAAAACUUCCCCCUUCCUUCUCCUCCCCCUUCUUCUGAGCAAGAAUUCAGCACGCCCCAUAGAGACCUAAGAAAUAACGGGGGGGGGGGGGGGCGACUGAAUAGGGGUCCGUGUAAAAACAGGCACAGGAUCUGCAAGCUCCAAUUAACGUGCAAGGAAUAAUAAGGGAGCUCACAGGAAGUGAGGCUACUUUCCCAUCAUACAACUAACUUUGAGGAACACUAUUUCUCUUUCAUCUUUCUGAAGCCCUUUCCAAAGAAUAACCAUGGUAUGUAAACCUCUGGAAAGGACCACAAGGGUCAUCCAGUCCAACCCGCUGCAUCGCAGGAACAUGCAGGAGUCCCUUAUGGGGGAAAAUCCUAACAUCUUGGUUGUGCAGCUAAUGUUCCUCUCUUAAACGGCACUUUGAAGGCUACUUCAGGGAUCCCCACCUCUCCUGCAGCUGCAAGUUCAGCCAGGAAGCAAACAUGGCCAUCCACUAUUCUUGACUGGAAACAGAGGAAGUGCUGCUUACAUCCUCCCUGGGAGCAUUAAGGUAAAGGGACCCCUGACCAUUAGGUCCAGUCACGGACGACUCUGGGGUUGCAGCGCUCAUCUCGCUUUACUGCCCGACAGAGCCGGCGUACAGCAUGACUAAGCCGCUUCUGGCGAACCAGAACAGCGCACGGAAAUGCCGUUUACCAUCCCGCCGGAGCGGUACCCAUUUAUCUACUUGUACUUCGAACUGCUAGGUUGGCAGCAGCAAGGACCCUGCAAAGGGAGCUCACUCCGUCGCGGGGAUUCGAACCGCCAACCUUCUGAUUGCCAAGUCCUAGGCUCGGUGGUUUAACCCACAGCGACACCUGCAUCUCAUAACUUAAAGGAAUGCUAUUUCUGUUUCAUCUUUCUAAAGCACAUUCCAAAGAAUCAUAUGAUGCUGCAUUUAUAUCUAUAUCUGGAAGGGACCUCAUCGGUCAUCCAGCCCAACCCACUGCAAGGCAGGAAUAUGCAGGAGAAUAACCACUAACCUUGGUUGUGCUGUCAGUGUUGCCGGAUUAAAUGGCACUUUCAAGGCAAUUUAAACUGCAGCUUCAAGUUGCGCCAUGAAGCACCCCUUGCCAUCCCCUUUUGCUGACUGGGAGCGGAGGAGGUGCUGCUUACAGUCUCCCCAGGAGCAUUUCAACAGUCAGGAGGAGGCCUGAAGCCUUCGGGGGGAUUGUACAUCUGCUAAGAACAUUUAUGCCUCCAGAAAAGGAAAAAACAAUGGUCCUGCUCUAAGGGAAUGCUCAUGAGUGUAUAAGUGCUGCUCUUUAAAACACACCUCUUAACGUUACAAACUGCUGCAAAUUUACAAGACGCAUACAAAUACGUGCCAGUAUUUGUCAAUGUAAAUGAUUCAAUUGGCUUUUGGCUUUGGCCCCUGUUGCAGGGCUCAGCCCACUUAGUCUUGUGCCAUUGGGGCUCCCAGCCUAGGUGCAUGGCAGGGGACAGUCUUAAAUGUUUGCAGUUGAUUUUUAAGGACUGACACACACAAACACACACCCCAAAACUGUAUUAAGACAUUACUAAAUGCUAAGGUUUCCAUUUUUGGAGAGACCGUGGGAAAGUGCCAUCUCCCUGACCAUCGAGGAAUAGAGACUGAUCUCUGGGAGGUUGCCAGGGUUACUGGUGUGAGGAGAGGAAGAGAGACACUUCACUCAGCUGUUUGAGCUGAAAUCCACCUUUCGAGAAGGCAGGCUGCACCUCUGGAAAGGACCAGGCCUUGUGGAGGUGUAGGGACUGUGUGGUCUUACCGAUUUAGAGAGAUAGCUAGGUAUUGCCCACUGUUCCCUUUACUCCUUGCUGCUAAGAAUCUUUUCCGGUGGAUGGAAGUGGACUUAGGCAGAUGUAGCAUUCGACAUAAAGGAAUAAAGCAGAGCCCAUGCAGGCAACCCAUCUUUUUCCACUGCAGCCUUGCCUCUUUUUCUUCUCUUUCCUUUCGCUGCCACGCUGCUGGGCGAAUCAGGUGUUUGGUUAAAGGAGCCGUUUGGAUCUCGUCUCAAAAGAUCCCCUUUCCCCCUCUCGCCACUCUUCUCCCUCCCUCUGUCAAGCAAAACGUCCCCCUUCCUUCUCCUUCCACUUUUUGGGAGAAGGAAUUCAGCACAGCUCAGAGACCUGAGAAAUAACGGGGGGGGGGGGGCAGAUUUUUUCUAGAACCGAAAGAGGGGUCCAUGUAAAAACAGGCAGAGGAUCCGCCAAGCUCAAACUAAAGUGAAGGAAUAAUAAGGGAGCUCACAGAAAGCGAGGCGACUUUCCUG